UGGGGAAUAUUGGACAAUGGGCGCAAGCCUGAUCCAGCAAUACCACGUGAAUGAUGAAGGCCUUAGGGUUGUAAAAUUCUUUUAGUAGGGAAGAUAAUGACGGUACCUACAGAAAAAGCACCGGCUAACUUCGUGCCAGCAGCCGCGGUAAUACGAAGGGUGCUAGCAUUGUUCGGAAUCAUUGGGCGUAAAGCGUAUGUAGGCGGCUUAGCAAGUUGGUUGUGAAAUCCCGGGGCUCAACCUCGGAAUUGCAAUCAAAACUGCUUCGCUAGAGUAUAGUAGGGGAUAGUGGAAUUCCUAGUGUAGGGGUGAAAUCCGUAGAUAUUAGGAGGAACAUCGGCGGCGAAAGC
rnacentral:rRNA from 1 species